rnacentral:rRNA from 1 species
UGGGGGAUAUUGCACAAUGGGCGAAAGCCUGAUGCAGCGACGCCGCGUGGGGGAUGAAGGCCUUCGGGUUGUAAACUUCUUUUGCUCUGAACAAGGCGCACCAUGGGGUGUGUUGAGUGUGGGGGUUGAUUAGCGCCGGCUAACUACGUGCCAGCAGCCGCGGUAAUACGUAGGGCGCGAGCGUUGUCCGGAAUUAUUGGGCGUAAAGGGCUUGUAGGUGGCUGGUUGCGUCUGUCGUGAAAGCUCAUGGCUUAACUGUGGGUUUGCGGUGGGUACGGGCUGGCUUGAGUGCAGUAGGGGAGGCUGGAAUUCCUGGUGUAGCGGUGGAAUGCGCAGAUAUCAGGAGGAAUACCGGUGGCGAAGGCGGGUCUCUGGGCUGUUACUGACACUGAGGAGCGAAAGCAUGGGGAGCGAACAGG